rnacentral:rRNA from 1 species
GACGAACGCUGGCGGCGUGCUUAACACAUGCAAGUCGAGCGGAAAGGCCCUUUCGGGGGUACUCGAGCGGCGAACGGGUGAGAAACACGUGAGUAAUCUGCCCUUGGCUUUGGGAUAACCACCGGAAACGGUGGCUAAUACCGGAUAUGACGGGCUCCGGCAUCGGGGUUCGUGGAAAGUUUUUCGGCCAGGGAUGUGCUCGCGGCCUAUCAGCUUGUUGGUGGGGUAAUGGCCUACCAAGGCUUCGACGGGUAGCCGGCCUGAGAGGGUGACCGGCCACACGUGGGACUGAGACACGGCCCAGACUCCGUACGGGAGGCAGCA